UACAGAGGGUGCAAGCGUUAAUCGGAAUUACUGGGCGUAAAGCGUGCGUAGACGGUUAUUUAAGUCAGGUGUGAAAGCCCCGGGCUCAACCUGGGAAUUGCAUUUGAGACUGAAUAGCUAGGGUGCGGAAGAGGGAAGCGGAAUUUCCGGUGUAGCGGUGAAAUGCGUAGAUAUCGGAAGGAACACCAGUGGCGAAAGCGGCUUCCUGGUCCAGCACCGACGUCAGGCACGAAAGCGUGGGGAGCAAACAG
rnacentral:rRNA from 1 species